CGGGCUGGGAGGUUUUACGUGAAGGAGAAAGCUGGAAAAAAAAGGGAAAAAAAGUCGUCGUAUGCGGUUAGUCAGCUACCCGGCAGGCGUCGCAAGCAGGCUUUCUGAGGAGCGAGGACUACUCAGUAGGCUAACGGGCUUACUGACCAGCGAAAGGACUUCGUAUAUGCCAGGGCAUGCAGCAGUGGCAACUGGAGGAGCAGCCUGUUGUCUCCAGGACCACUGAGCAGCAUUUGGCUCCAUAUGGCUGUUUUUCAAGCUUGAUGGUACAGACACGUGGCACACGAGGGCAGACAGAUGGUGCUGAAUGUGUUUGGCAUUUUUGCCAGCAAGCACUGGAGAAAAGCUGA
rnacentral:lncRNA from 1 species